AGCGAACGCUGGCGGCAUGCCUAACACAUGCAAGUCGAACGAGACCUUCGGGUCUAGUGGCGCACGGGUGCGUAACGCGUGGGAAUCUGCCCUUAGGUUCGGAAUAACUCAGGGAAACUUGAGCUAAUACCGGAUAAUGACUUCGGUCCAAAGAUUUAUCGCCUAGGGAUGAGCCCGCGUAGGAUUAGCUAGUUGGUGAGGUAAAAGCUCACCAAGGCGACGAUCCUUAGCGGUCUGAGAGGAUGAUCAGCCACACUGGGACUGAGACACGGCCCAGACUCCUACGGGAGGCAGCAGUGGGGAAUAUUGGACAAUGGGCGAAAGCCUGAUGCAGCGACGCCGCGUGA
rnacentral:rRNA from 1 species